rnacentral:rRNA from 1 species
GGGUGAAAUCUGGUUCCAGGACAGGGGUUGCGCAGUCUUGUAAGAGGUUUUUAGGCUAUUAAAAUUUAGAUCUAAAAUAGGAUUAGAUACCCUGUUAUACUAAAUUUAAAGUAAUUUGCUUGAGUAGUAAUCAGUUAUAUUCUUGAAACUUAAAGGAUUUGGCGGUAUCUUAGUCUUGUUAGAGGAAUCUGUUCUGUAAACGAUAAACCACGAAGGAUCUUACUUUUUUUUGUAGUUCAGUUUGUAUACCGCCAUUAUUAGGUAAUAUUUAUAAAGUUUACUGAAGUUGUUAAUAGCUAAUAUAUUAGGUCAAGGUGCAGCUGAUGGGAAAGUGGGUAAUGGAUUACAAUGGGUCGUGUAUAAACGGAUAAAUAAAAGUAUUUUUAUUUUGAAGGUGGAUUUAAUAGUAAUGCUUGUUUAAUAAGCAAGCUUGAUAGGGGCUCUAAGGUAUGUA